rnacentral:rRNA from 1 species
AACUAACAAGGAUUCCCCUAGUAACUGCGAGUGAAGCGGGAAAAGCUCAAAUUUAAAAUCUGAUAGUCUUUGGCUGUCCGAGUUGUAAUCUGGAGAAGCGUCUUCCGUGCUGGACCGUGUACAAGUCUCCUGGAACGGAGCGUCAUAGAGGGUGAGAAUCCCGUCUUUGACACGGACUACCGGUGCUUUGUGAUGCGCUCUCAAAGAGUCGAGUUGUUUGGGAAUGCAGCUCUAAAUGGGUGGUAAACUCCAUCUAAAGCUAAAUAUUGGCGAGAGACCGAUAGCGAACAAGUACCGUGAGGGAAAGAUGAAAAGCACUUUGGAAAGAGAGUUAAACAGUACGUGAAAUUGCUGAAAGGGAAACGCUUGAAGUCAGUCGCGUUUGCUAGGACUCAGCCUUGCCUCGGUUUGGCGCAUUUCCUAGUUGAACGGGCCAGUAUCACUUUUGGCUGCAGGAAAAAGGUUAGAGGAAUGUGGCACCUCCGGGUGUGUUAUAGCCUCUGGCUGUAUACUGUGGCCGGGAGUGAGGAACUCAGCACGCCUUUAUGGCGGGGCUUCGGCCACCAUUCGUGCUUAGGAUGCUGGCGUAAUGGCUUUAAGCGACCCGUCUUGAAACACGGACCAAGGAGUCUAACAUGCCUGCGAGUGUUUGGGUGGAAAACCCGAGCGCGCAAUGAAAGUGAAAGUUGGGACCUCUGUCGCGGAGGGCACCGACGCCCGGACCAGAACUUCGGGGACGGAUCUGCGGUAGAGCAUGUAUGUUGGGACCCGAAAGAUGGUGAACUAUGCCUGAAUAGGGUGAAGCCAGAGGAAACUCUGGUGGAGGCUCGUAGCGAUUCUGACGUGCAAAUCGAUCGUCAAAUUUGGGUAUAGGGGCGAAAGAC